rnacentral:rRNA from 1 species
UACGUAGGUGGCAAGCGUUGUCCGGAAUUAUUGGGCGUAAAGCGCGCGCAGGUGGUUCCUUAAGUCUGAUGUGAAAGCCCACGGCUCAACCGUGGAGGUGCCUUUGAUACUGCUCGUCUGGAGGGAGGUAGGGGCGUGCGGAACUUCCGGUGGAGCGGUGAAAUGCGUAGAUAUCGGAAGGAACGCCGGUGGCGAAAGCGACGUGCUGGACCUCUUCUGACGCUGAGGCGCGAAAGCUAGGGGAGCAAACGGG